rnacentral:snRNA from 1 species
CUCUUCUCAAUAUAGAAUAGA